AGACGAAUGCCCCAUUUUUCAAGAAGAAGAAAACGAACAGCGCAGUUUAUUUUGGUUUUUAAAGAGAGUAAACGAAAAAGAUUAACAACGAGGAAAAGAAAUCAUUUGGAGCGUUUGGAUGCGUAUAACAAAGACGCACCUUUCAAUUAGCCGCAUCACCGGUGACUUGGAGGACGAGCAUUACGUGGAGCUCGCUAUUAGUUUAAGUAAAUAUUUGAUUAUUGUGAUGUUAUUAUGAA